CCUGAGAGGGGUGAUCGGCCACAUUGGGACUGAGACACGGCCCCAAACUCCUACGGGAGGCAGCAGUAGGGAAUCUUCGGCAAUGGACGAAAGUCUGACCGAGCAACGCCGCGUGAGUGAAGAAGGUUUUCGGAUCGUAAAACUCUGUUGUUAGAGAAGAACAAGGAUGAGAGUAACUGUUCAUCCCUUGACGGUAUCUAACCAGAAAGCCACGGCUAACUACGUGCCAGCAGCCGCGGUAAUACGUAGGUGGCAAGCGUUGUCCGGAUUUAUUGGGCGUAAAGCGAGCGCAGGCGGUUUCUUAAGUCUGAUGUGAAAGCCCCCGGCUCAACCGGGGAGGGUCAUUGGAAACUGGGAGACUUGAGUGCAGAAGAGGAGAGUGGAAUUCCAUGUGUAGCGGUGAAAUGCGUAGAUAUAUGGAGGAACACCAGUGGCGAAGGCGGCUCUCUGGUCUGUAACUGACGCUGAGGCUCGAAAGCGUGGGGAGCAAACAGGAUUAGAUACCCUGGUAGUCCACGCCGUAAACGAUGAGUGCUAAGUGUUGGAGGGUUUCCGCCCUUCAGUGCUGCAGCUAACGCAUUAAGCACUCCGCCUGGGGAGUACGACCGCAA
rnacentral:rRNA from 1 species